rnacentral:rRNA from 1 species
AGCAGUGGGGAAUAUUGGACAAUGGGCGAAAGCCUGAUCCAGCCAUGCCGCGUGUGUGAAGAAGGUCUUCGGAUUGUAAAGCACUUUAAGUUGGGAGGAAGGGCAUUAACCUAAUACGUUAGUGUUUUGACGUUACCGACAGAAUAAGCACCGGCUAACUCUGUGCCAGCAGCCGCGGUAAUACAGAGGGUGCAAGCGUUAAUCGGAAUUACUGGGCGUAAAGCGCGCGUAGGUGGUUUGUUAAGUUGGAUGUGAAAUCCCCGGGCUCAACCUGGGAACUGCAUUCAAAACUGACUGACUAGAGUAUGGUAGAGGGUGGUGGAAUUUCCAGUGUAGCGGUGAAAUGCGUAGAUAUAGGAAGGAACACCAGUGGCGAAGGCGACCACCUGGACUAAUACUGACACUGAGG